rfam:Oryza nivara chromosome 3, whole genome shotgun sequence.
CAUAAUAUGGGUAUCAAUAUCUAACUUUGACCAUCCGUCUUAUUUAAAAUAUUUUUAUUAUUAGUAUUUUUAUUGUUAUUAGAUGAUAAAAUAUGAAUAGUACUUUAUGCAUAACUUAACUUUUAAAUUUUUUUUUAUAAAUUUUUCAAAUAAAACAGACGGUUAAAUACGUUGGACAUGAAAACUUAUAAUGCGACGGAUG